GCGUUGGUCGUGCACGGCGCACACACCAAUCAUAUUGAGCAUAAUCCCGACCGUAAAAAUAUCGAUGGUAAAUCCGGGGUUCGACUCCCCGCCGACGCA